rnacentral:rRNA from 1 species
GAUGAACGCUAGCUACAGGCUUAACACAUGCAAGUCGAGGGGAAACGGCAUCGAAAGCUUGCUUUUGAUGGGCGUCGACCGGCGCACGGGUGAGUAACGCGUAUCCAACCUGCCCAUCACUUGGGAAUAACCUUGCGAAAGUAAGACUAAUGCCCAAUGACAUCCCACGAAGGCAUCCGAAUGGGAUUAAAGAUUUAUCUGUGAUGGAUGGGGAUGCGUCUGAUUAGCUUGUUGGCGGGGUGACGGCCCACCGAGGCAACGAUCAGUAGGGGUUCUGAGAGGAAGGUCCCCCACAUUGGAACUGAGACACGGUCCAAACUCCUACGGGAGGCAGCAGUGAGGAAUAUUGGUCAAUGGGCGAGAGCCUGAACCAGCCAAGUAGCGUGCAGGAUGACGGCCCUAUGGGUUGUAAACUGCUUUUAUAAGGGAAUAAAGUGGGUCACGUGUGACUUUUUGCAUGUACCUUAUGAAUAAGGACCGGCUAAUUCCGUG